rnacentral:rRNA from 1 species
CGGGUGAGUAAUGUCUGGGAAACUGCCCGAUGGAGGGGGAUAACUACUGGAAACGGUAGCUAAUACCGCAUAACGUCGCAAGACCAAAGAGGGGGACCUUAGGGCCUCCUGCCAUCGGAUGUGCCCAGAUGGGAUUAGCUAGUAGGUGGGGUAAUGGCUCACCUAGGCGACGAUCCCUAGCUGGUCUGAGAGGAUGAUCAGCCACACUGGGACUGAGACACGGCCCAG